UGGGGAAUUUUGCACAAUGGGGGAAACCCUGAUGCAGCGACGCCGCGUGAUUUAGAAGGCCUUCGGGUUGUAAAAAUCUUUUCUAUGGGAAGAAAAUGACAGUACCAUAGGAAUAAGGACCGGCUAAUUACGUGCCAGCAGCCGCGGUAAUACGUAAGGUCCGAGCGUUGUCCGGAAUCAUUGGGCGUAAAGGGUUCGUAGGCGGGUAAGCAAGUUAGAAGUGAAAUCCUAUAGCUCAACUAUAGUAAGCUUUUAAAACUGCUCAUCUUGAGGUAUGGAAGGGAAAGUGGAAUUCCUAGUGUAGCGGUGAAAUGCGCAGAUAUUAGGAGGAAUACCGGUGGCGAAGGCGACUUUCUGGCCAUAACCUGACGCUGAGGUACGAAAGCGUGGGUAGCAAACAGG
rnacentral:rRNA from 1 species